rnacentral:rRNA from 1 species
GAUGAACGCUGGCGGCGUGCCUAAUACAUGCAAGUCGAGCGAACAGAUGAGGAGCUUGCUCCUCUGACGUUAGCGGCGGACGGGUGAGUAACACGUGGAUAACCUACCUAUAAGACUGGGAUAACUUCGGGAAACCGGAGCUAAUACCGGAUAAUAUAUUGAACCGGAUGGUUCAAUAGUGAAAGACGGUUUUGCUGUCACUUAUAGAUGGAUCCGCGCCGCAUUAGCUAGUUGGUAAGGUAACGGCUUACCAAGGCAACGAUGCGUAGCCGACCUGAGAGGGUGAUCGGCCACACUGGAACUGAGACACGGUCCAGACUCCUACGGGAGGCAGCAGUAGGGAAUCUUCCGCAAUGGGCGAAAGCCUGACGGAGCAACGCCGCGUGAGUGAUGAAGGUCUUCGGAUCGUAAAACUCUGUUAUUAGGGAAGAACAAAUGUGUAAGUAACUAUGCACGUCUUGACGGUACCUAAUCAGAAAGCCACGGCUAACUACGUG